rnacentral:rRNA from 1 species
CUGACCGGUACAUAAUCGUACCUUCUCUUCGGAGCAGGAGUGACAGGUGGUGCAUGGUUGUCGUCAGCUCGUGUCGUGAGAUGUUGGGUUAAGUCCCGCAACGAGCGCAACCCUUAUCUUUAGUAGCCAGCGGUUAAGCCGGGCACUCUAGAGAGACUGCCAGGGAUAACCUGGAGGAAGGCGGGGAUGACGUCAAAUCAUCAUGCCCCUUAUGACUUGGGCUACACACGUGCUACAAUGGCGUAAACAAAGGGAAGCAAAGCUGUGAAGCCGAGCAAAUCUCAAAAAUAACGUCUCAGUUCGGACUGUAGUCUGCAACCCGACUACACGAAGCUGGAAUCGCUAGUAAUCGCAGAUCAGAAUGCUGCGGUGAAUACGUUCCCGGGUCUUGUACACACCGCCCGUCACACCAUGGGAGUUGGGAAUGCCCGAAGCCAGUGACCUAACCGAAAGGAAGGAGCUGUCGAAGGCAGGCUCGAUAACUGGGGUGAAGUCGUAACAAGGUAGCCGUAUCGGAAGGUGCGGCUGGAUCACCUCCUUUCUAAGGAA